rfam:Camelus ferus unplaced genomic scaffold scaffold1025, whole genome shotgun sequence.
GAGGGUAUAGCUCAGUGGUAGGGUGCAUGCUUAGCAUGCGUGAGAUCUUGGGUUCAAUCCCGAGUACCCCCU